AAACGGUUCAGCAGCCGGACUGGAUGGUC
rnacentral:sRNA from 1 species